CUUUAUCGGAUGGUUUACCUUGUUUCAAGGUGAGAGAGAGCAUGCUUUUUAAUGGAUGUAUGGUGAAUUUGGCUACUUUACUUCUUUUUUAUUUGGAUUUUAAACAUUUUAGGAACCACACGCAACACAGGAGGAGGAAUCAUCUACUCCGACAACCCCUUUGCUGGCAGCCAACCGCCACGUCCGGUUUGCACAAGGAGUCCGGUCCAGUACAGUCAACUGGAAAGUAACCAGAGAUCACAACAAUAAUGUCCGUACACCAACUGAAACAGG